GACGAACGCGGGCGGCGUGCUUAACACAUGCAAGUCGAACGAUGAAGAAAAGAAUCGAAGCUUCGGCAGAAAUUCAUUUCGGAUUAGUGGCAGACGGGUGAGUAACGCGUGAGCAACCUACCUCUUACAAAGGGAUAGCCUCGGGAAACCGGGAUUAAUACCAUAUAACAUUGCGACGAAGCAUUUCGAUGCAAUCAAAGCUACGGCGGUAAGAGAUGGGCUCGCGUCCCAUUAACCGGAUGGUGAGGUAACGGCUCACCAUAGUGACGAUGGGUAACCGGCCUGAGAGGGUGAACGGUCACACUGGAACUGAGACACGGUCCAGACUCCUACGGGAGGCAGCAGUGGGGAAUAUUGCACAAUGGAGGGAACUCUGAUGCAGCGACGCCGCGUGAGUGAUGAAGGAAUUCGUUUCGUAAAACUCUGUUCUAUGGGAAGAAAAGGACUGUACCAUAGGAGAAAGCUCCGGCUAAAUACGUG
rnacentral:rRNA from 1 species